UGUCCCUUCAGUAGAUGCAUCAGUCUUUUUCCUGAUUUCUGUGCGUUUUACUGCUGCAAGCACAUUCAGUGAACAAAAGGUGCUUAAUGUCUUGCUGCUGAGAGGUGGACCAUCGCCAAGGUUUGCUCAGAGAACACUUCUACCCACGGAGAAUUACCAAGUGGUGCGACUUGUGUUUUAAUAUAUAGGAAAAUUGGUUGAGAAAGUUUUUAAUACGAUUUUGAAGACGUUUUCUUUUGGAGCUUGUGCUACUAAUGAGACUAUCAUUAACUUCUUAUUUUUUGGUUCCCUGUUUCUUUAUUGCUGAAAUUUUUGGGACAUUGUGAUACUGUGUAGUAUUGGUCCAUAGAUAUACUUUUCUGAAUA